rnacentral:lncRNA from 10 species
UAGCUGUAGUGGUAUGUGCUCUCUCUCAAUGCUGAGCUGCAGCUCCCAGUCAGCCACUGGAUCAUGAGGGUAAAAUACGGAUACUUGACAUCUUCUUAAAGAACAUCAUGCCUGCUAAGCCAUCCAGUUUGGAUGCCCCAGUGCCUUCCACCAGCCAUUCUCAAGCCUCAUUAGAAGAGAGAGAUUGAUGACCCUGUAGCUGCAGCAUCCCAUCAUCCUGCAUUUUAGUUCAAUGCUUCAAACGUUCUUCAGGCCCAGUGUGCUUUCAGCUGUGUAUGUUAAUGGGAGAGUGAGCAAGUUUCGUCCUUGUGCCUGCAUCUGCUGGGAAACGAUAAGAGCCCAACAUAUGUUAGAAGCAACAAUCGCAGACAAAGAGUACAACUUGUUUUUGAAGGUUCAAACUGAAACACUGGCCCUUCCUGAGUCUCAAGCCUGCUGGCCUUUGGGCUGGAACUAAACCCUCAGCUCUCCUGUGUCUCCAACCUGCCCGCUCUGCCUAGUGAUCUUGGGACUUCCCAGACUUUAUAAUCAUGUGAGCCGAUUCCUUAUAAUUAAAUCUCUUCGUAUAUUAACACACAUCCUGUAGGCUCUGUUCUCUGGAGAACCGAGCUAAUAUGCUGUGUUAAAG